CUGUAAUGAUGACAUCUUAGGACACCUUUGGAUUAAUAAUGAAAAGAACCAUGUUUUUCUGAGCAGC